rnacentral:lncRNA from 1 species
GCGGCGGCGGCGGCUUUGCCGCCAGCAGCACCUCCUGCGCCUGGCGGCGUUAGCAGCAGCCGCGCACUGUUAUCCUCCUCAAACUUCUCACGUCCUGCGGCAAACAUCCGCCUCAUCACCGUGCGUGGGGAGGACGGCUUGCCAUGGCCAGCUGCGUUGCGCAGGCCGCCCAAGCGGCGCAGCUGGAUUGAUGGCGGUGAACGUGGCGUUGAGAAGUGGACGUUGGGUACCACCCGGAAUUACGUGGUUGAUCCCGCCCCAGCGCCAGCCCCUAUACACCGUCCGGAGUCGUCGUCUGUUCUAGGCACAAGCUCAACACAUUGCUUCGCCGCGCUGGCGAGUGCCAAGGAUGGCCCUGAUACACCAUGGGGGCAUGUCGCACACGUGGAAGGCACUGUAAUUGUUGUGGCAGGUGUGGCAGGGGCACAGGCAGAACGACUCAACUGUGCCGGCACGUACGCAUCGACUUCAGGCGAGCGCGGAUUGAUUGAGAGCGGGGGGUGGGGGAGUCCGGGGAGACCUGUUCGACGUUGGGAGAGAUUCACAGUCGGAGUGGAUGUGCGAGAAUACGCGAGGGUAAAUUGGACGGUGGCCCGACGUCGGGGCACCAUCCGCACACGACAAGGCAGGUGUUGAC